GAGUUUGAUCGUGGCUCAGAUUGAACGCUGGCGGCAUGCCUUACGCAUGCAAGCCGAACGGCAGCAUGAUCUAGCUUGCUAGAUUGAUGGCGAGUGGCGGAACGGGUGAGUAAUACAUCGGAACGUGCCCUGUAGUGGGGAUAACUAGUCGAAAGAUUAGCUAAUACCGCAUACGACCUGAGGGUGAAAGUGGGGGACCGCAAGGCCUCAUGCUAUAGGAGCGGCCGAUGUCUGAUUAGCUAGUUGGUGGGGUAAAGGCCCACCAAGGCGACGAUCAGUAGCUGGUCUGAGAGGACGAUCAGCCACACUGGGACUGAGACACGGCCCAGACUCCUACGGGAGGCAGCAGUGGGGAAUUUUGGACAAUGGGCGAAAGCCUGAUCCAGCAAUGCCGCGUGUGUGAAGAA
rnacentral:rRNA from 1 species